CCUACGGGAGGCAGCAGUGGGGAAUAUUGGACAAUGGGCGCAAGCCUGAUCCAGCAAUGCCGCGUGUGUGAAGAAGGCCUUCGGGUUGUAAAGCACUUUUAUCAGGAGCGAAAUCGGCAAGGUUAAUAACCGUGUCGUCUGACGGUACCUGAGGAAUAAGCACCGGCUAACUUCGUGCCAGCAGCCGCGGUAAU
rnacentral:rRNA from 1 species